GUUUAUUGCAACCUGUAAAGUUUCUGUUACUGGUAUAAACAGAUUAAGGUUGAUUAAAGUAACACUUUCUAAUUUCAGAAGGUCUACGGCUAAUCUUUCCUUUCACAGAUAUACAUCGCGUUUGCGUUGUGCGGUAGAGUGUAUUGUGGGCUCGCGGCGUAGAAAAAAAAAUCUGUACGUUCGAACGGAUUUCGAACUUGGGAGCGCUAGUUUGCAGAUAUGUUUUGUCCGUUUUGAGGGACAGCCCUGGAAAGAAAGCCGUUGUUUUGCCCGGAGUGUGGCAGGUCUUUGGAAUGUCUAUCUCACAUAGAGGAUAGCGAAACAACAGAUCACAAUUUUGGUUGGAGCUUUUAGAAGACCUUAAGGAAUAUGGCCAUUUUAAUGGUAGUCGUGAGCAUAAAUGUUUGCUGCGCUUUGCAUUUCUUGCUGUUCUUCAGAAAGAUUUGAAUGAGGCGAAGAUGCUCUGGAACCAACACAGAAUGAGACCUUCAAGAAUGUCAUCCUGUCCAUCAGGAAUUCCAAAUGAGUUAUUCAGUUUACCACACUGGUUUCAAGCAAGAGAUUGUAGAUAUGUACUGAACCUGAAUUGUCUUCGGGAUCUAUCACCUUACUGUGAAGAAACUUCCAUGUGUGGAGAUCUGGCCAUCCAGGAAUACUUAACAUUAAUAAAACAGCAAAAUAAUCUUCAGACACCAAAUA